UACGAAGGGGGCUAGCGUUGCUCGGAAUGACUGGGCGUAAAGGGCGCGUAGGCGGCGAUCACAGUCAGAUGUGAAAUUCCUGGGCUUAACCUGGGGGCUGCAUUUGAUACGUGGUUGCUUGAGUGGGGAAGAGGUCGUGGAAUUCCCAGUGUAGAGGUGAAAAUUCGUAGAUAUUGGGAAGAACACCGGUGGCGAAGGCGGCGACCUGGUCCUUGACUGACGCUGAGGCGCGAAAGCGUGGGGAGCAAACAGG
rnacentral:rRNA from 1 species